rnacentral:rRNA from 1 species
ACGCUCGACACCUACGGGAGGCAGCAGUGGGGAAUAUUGCACAAUGGGGGAAACCCUGAUGCAGCGACGCCGCGUGGAGGAAGAAGGUCUUCGGAUUGUAAACUCCUGUUGUUGGGGAAAAAGAGGAUGGUACCCAACAAGGAAGUGACGGCUAACUACGUGUCAGCAGCAGCGGUAAUCUGAGCGGGCUGGCAAGGC